ACUGCAUCUGCCUGUGGAAGCAGAACUAUAUUUCCAGGGGCACGCUUUUUUGGGCUCUUCCUAAGCAGCAAAGCACCUCUGUGUCCCUGACACACCGGAUUCUUUAGUGUGCAUUUUUGUCUCAGCAUCCCCGGAGGGUGCAGCCAGUCUGAGAUGCAACUCAAUCAAAUACCAUCUAUGUGUUCUCUUCUAUCCCAGAUGUCAGUCCCACCGUGGCCAGACAGGAGGAAAGAUGAGGAUCAAAGUAUGGGGUCUGCUUACUUAUCCACAGAAGACCAGGAACAAAGUUCCCACAGAGUAUUUUCAACUGAAAGAUACUAUGACACAAUGCCAAAAGAAGAAGAAGAAGAAGAAGAAGAAGAAGAAGAAGAAGAAGAAGAAGAAGAAGAAGAAGAAGAAGAAGAAGAAGAAGAAGAAGAAGAAGAAGAAGAAGAAGAAGGAGAAGAAGAAGAAGAAGGAGAAGAAAAAUACAAAUGAAAGUUUUCAGGACUGCAAGAAAGGAGUCAAACCGAAAGCCAGAACUGGAGAGGAAUCCCCGCGAGUCUUCCGCCAGCAAAGUGGGCCGUGUGCACCUGGGAAGCAUCCUUUCUGGAAGGACAAGCACUGCUGGGGGGAAGUUCAUCGGGAACAGUCAGAAUAAUCUGAGAAAAGAGUAAAUUCUUAUACAAGCUCAAUGAAUUUAAACCCUCCUCAUGUUGGGUAAUUUGGAGUAGACUGAGCCAGUUCCAAACCACAGUAUUUCGGCUUUAGCAUGAUCUUGUCUGGUAAUGAUUUAAAUUUGAUAGCAAGCCAAAAUUCCAACUUUUUUUUUACCUCUCCC
rnacentral:lncRNA from 1 species